rnacentral:rRNA from 1 species
AUCACCUUAGGAAUACCCGCUGAACUUAAGCAUAUCAAUAAGCGGAGGA